GCGGCCUAUCAGCUUGUUGGUGAGGUAAUGGCUCACCAAGGCAACGACGGGUAGCCGGCCUGAGAGGGCGACCGGCCACACUGGGACUGAGACACGGCCCAGACUCCUACGGGAGGCAGCAAUGGGGAAUAUUGGGCAAUGGAGGAAACUCUGACCCAGCGACGCCGCGUGCGGGAUGAAGGCCUUCGGGUUGUAAACCGCUUUCAGUAGGGAAGAAGCGAAAGUGACGGUACCUACAAAAGAAGCACCGGCUAACUAUGUGCCAGCAGCCGCGGUAAUACAUAGGGUGCAAGCGUUGUCCGGAAUUAUUGGGCGUAAAGAGCUCGUAGGUCGUUUGUUACGUCGGAUGUGAAAACCUGAGGCUCAACCUCAGGCCUGCAUUCGAUACGGGCAAACUAGAGUUUGGUAGGGGAGACUGGAAUUCCU
rnacentral:rRNA from 1 species